UACGAACUGUGCGAACGUUAUUCGGAAUCACUGGGCUUACAGGGUGCGUAGGCGGCUUUGCAAGUCAGGUGUGAAAGCCCCCGGCUCAACCGGGGAAUUGCGCUUGAAACUGCAGGGCUCGAGUCAGCUAGAGGUGCACGGAACUUCCAGUGGAGCGGUGAAAUGUGUUGAUAUUGGAAGGAACACCGGAGGCGAAAGCGGUGCACUGGGGCUGGUCUGACGCUGAGGCACGAAAGCCAGGGGAGCGAAC
rnacentral:rRNA from 1 species